CUGCCCUCAAGCACGGCUUGUGUGUUGGGCCCCCGUCCCCCCCCACCGGGGGGACGGGCCCGAAAGGCAGCGGCGGCACCGCGUCCGGUCCUCGAGCGUAUGGGGCUCUGUCACCCGCUCUUGUAGGCCCGGCCGGCGCCAGCCGACCCCCCUCAAUCUAUUUUUUCA
rnacentral:misc_RNA from 1 species